rnacentral:lncRNA from 1 species
GGCUCUAGCACCCAGGGCUGCUGCGGUUGGGCUGGGGUACCAGUAGGACUAAGACAGGUGGAAGAGUAGAACUGAAUGGUGUUGUAUGUCCUGAAAAAUGUCACCUGUUUGGAGCCUUCCAGAGCCUGCGUGGUCUUGUUAUAAAUGACGAUUCAGUAACCAGUGAUAGUUUUUUUAACUGUAAGUUUACCACAUAUAUUAAAUUCUUUGAUUUGCACAAAUACCCUAGGCCUUGGGUAUUCCCAAACAUUCCCAUUGUGUAUAAGGAAACUGAAGCUCAGAGUGAUUUAUAUGACCAGUCUAAGACUUCAGCCCAAAUCUUUUGACCCUAAGCAUCUCAUCACUCCUUACACCUUGUUGCCUCCCAAAUCUUGUAUGUCUAGAUAAACCUGCCUCAUGAACACCCUUUCUACAUGAAACAGCACCAGAAUCGAGGAGCAACUCAAUACCACCCCAUCCCAAAAUUCCCUGACAUUGAAAACACCAGCCUAAGGUCCUGCGACACUGGGCCUGGUGGGAGGAGUACCUGGGGACCCUCUGAACGUCUUGUGGAAGCCCUGAGGAAACCAUUCGGAGGUCUAGGCAUACCGUCAAGGAGCCUCACAGCUCAACUUGGAGAAAGCCAAGAACUGCUUCUAUUCCAGCCUUAUUGAGAAAUGACCAUGGCGUGCAGUAAGUGUUUUGGCACAGAGGACAAGAAGGAGAAGCC